GUCUAAGCCUCGCUGCCACGUGGGUUUGCCACUCGGGGCCUGCAAGUCUGCCGAUAUCCACCAGGUGGCGCAGCACCUGGGCUGGGACUCGCCGGAGCUGUGAGGGGAGCUUGGGAUGGGUUUGCGGUCGGUGGAGCGGGUGUUGGUCCUUGAGGGGACUCAAGCAGCUGCGCCGGGGCAGGGUGGGCUAAGGCCCAGCCCACUCUCCGUCCAUUUCUCUUAUCCCCACUCUCUUCUUUUCCUCCCCUAGUUGUAGAUGCCAUGGGGUUGGGAGUGGACUUGGGCUCAGUCCACAGCCGUCCAGCCCAGACCUACUCGGCACGCAAAUCUCGCCAUUCUCUCUCAACCUCCAUGUUCCGUCCAGCUGGCAAACCAGGGAUACAGACUGGGCUGGAGAGACAGAGGGUCACCCUAUGUUGCCUAGGCUGGUCUGGAACUCCUGGACUUAAGCAAUCCUCCCACCUCAGCUUCCCAAAGUGCUGGAAUCACAGGUGUGACCCACCACAUGCAGUCUAAUGUAAAAAGCACGCAGCUGAAGACUUGAGGGAGACCCUGCAGAUCGCUGUGCAGCUCUUUCCUCUCCAGUACUCUGCCCUGUAAAAUGCAGCCAUCUACUCCCAGCUACUCAAGAGGCUGAGGCAGGAGAAUUGCUUGAACCCGGGAGGCAGAGGAUGCAGUGAACCAAGAUUGUGCCACUGCACUCCAGCCUGGCGACAGAGCAACAUUCCAUCUCCCAAAAUAAAUAAAUAAAUAAAAAAGA
rnacentral:lncRNA from 1 species